AGUGCGAAUGCUGACAUAAGUAACGAUAAAGCGGGUGAAAAGCCCGCUCGCCGGAAGACCAAGGGUUCCUGUCCAACGUUAAUCGGGGCAGGGUGAGUCGACCCCUAAGGCGAGGCCGAAAGGCGUAGUCGAUGGGAAACAGGUUAAUAUUCCUGUACUUGGUGUUACUGCGAAGGGGGGACGGAGAAGGCUAUGUUGGCCGGGCGACGGUUGUCCCGGUUUAAGCGUGUAGGUGUGUGUUCCAGGUAAAUCCGGUUCACUUUAACACUGAGGCGUGA
rnacentral:rRNA from 1 species